rnacentral:pre_miRNA from 1 species
GUCCGCCAAUAAACGGCUGAUUAUCAGAGUAUACGUGGUGUUCUGGUAAGCAUGACGCUUAUGAGAUCACGCGUAUAUUCGCUAGACAAGUUCGAAUCCUCGAGGGGAGU